CGCGUAGGCGGGAUGGCAAGUCGGUCGUGAAAGCCUUCGGCUCAACCGAAGAACGUCGGCCGAUACUGCCGUUCUUGAGGGAUGCAGAGGAGACUGGAAUUCCCGGUGUAGCGGUGAAAUGUGUAGAGAUCGGGAGGAACACCGGUGGCGAAGGCGGGUCUCUGGGCAUCUCCUGACGCUGAGGCGCGAAAGCGUGGGGAGCAAACGGGAUUAGAUACCCCGGUAGUCCACGCCGUAAACGAUGACGACUAGGUGUGGGGUGGUUCAGUCCACUCCGUGCCGCAGCUAACGCAUUAAGUCGUCCGCCUGGGGAGUACGGCCGCAAGGUUGAA
rnacentral:rRNA from 1 species